rnacentral:rRNA from 1 species
CCUACGGGUGGCAGCAGUCGAGAAUAAUUCACAAUGGGGGAAACCCUGAUGGUGCGACGCCGCGUGGGGGAAUGAAGGUCUUCGGAUUGUAAACCCCUGUCAUGUGGGAGCAAAUUAAAAAGAUAGUACCACAAGAGGAAGAGACGGCUAACUCUGUGCCAGCAGCCGCGGUAAUACAGAGGUCUCAAGCGUUGGUCGGAAUCACUGGGCGUAAAGGGUGCGUAGGCUGUUUCGUAAGUCGUGUGUGAAAGGCGCGGGCUCAACCCGCGGACGGCACAUGAUACUGCGAGACUAGAGUAAUGGAGGGGGAACCGGAAUUCUCGGUGUAGCAGUGAAAUGCGUAGAUAUCGAGAGGAACACUCGUGGCGAAGGCGGGUUCCUGGACAUUAACUGACGCUGAGGCACGAAGGCCAGGGGAGCGAAAGGGAUUAGAUACCCCUGUAGUC